AUUAGUUUUAAAUUUCAUCUCUCAUUUAGUUUCAGAGACACCAAACAAUGGCGAGUUCAUAUUGGAAAGUUUAAGAAGCUGUUGAAAGAUGAAACAGAACAGAUCCGCUACAUCGAAACCAUUAUACCUCACCCGGAGUAUAAAGGGUUCGAACCCUGGAAGCCUUCUGUCUCUUGGUUACGACAAAAGGAAAAUGAUAUCGCACUUGUUAGGCUUAAUGCUCCUGUGACGUUAAAUAGUUAUGUUCAUCCUGUGUGCCUU